rnacentral:tRNA from 1 species
UCGACGUACCGGCGAUGGCUCGCCGGGCGCUGAUGUCGCCCGGACACUUCUCCCGGGCGUUCCGGGCGGCCUACGGCGAG